UUCCGCCCCUUUGCCCUUUUCUCCCGCGCUUCUGUUUCCUCUUUUUUUUUUUUUUCCUUUUGGGUUUGUUUCCCUUGCUCAGGACGAACGCUGGCGGCGUGCCUAAUACAUGCAAGUCGAGCGGACAGAUGGGAGCUUGCUCCCUGAUGUUAGCGGCGGACGGGUGAGUAACACGUGGGUAACCUGCCUGUAAGACUGGGAUAACUCCGGGAAACCGGGGCUAAUACCGGAUGGUUGUUUGAACCGCAUGGUUCAAACAUAAAAGGUGGCUUCGGCUACCACUUACAGAUGGACCCGCGGCGCAUUAGCUAGUUGGUGAGGUAACGGCUCACCAAGGCAACGAUGCGUAGCCGACCUGAGAGGGUGAUCGGCCACACUGGGACUGAGACACGGCCCAGACUCCUACGGGAGGCAGCAGUAGGGAAUCUUCCGCAAUGGACGAAAGUCUGACGGAGCAACGCCGCGUGAGUGAUGAAGGUUUUCGGAUCGUAAAGCUCUGUUGUUAGGGAAGAACAAGUACCGUUCGAAUAGGGCGGUACCUUGACGGUACCUAACCAGAAAGCCACGGCUAACUACGUGCCAGCAGCCGCGGUAAUACGUAGGUGGCAAGCGUUGUCCGGAAUUAUUGGGCGUAAAGGGCUCGCAGGCGGUUUCUUAAGUCUGAUGUGAAAGCCCCCGGCUCAACCGGGGAGGGUCAUUGGAAACUGGGGAACUUGAGUGCAGAAGAGGAGAGUGGAAUUCCACGUGUAGCGGUGAAAUGCGUAGAGAUGUGGAGGAACACCAGUGGCGAAGGCGACUCUCUGGUCUGUAACUGACGCUGAGGAGCGAAAGCGUGGGGAGCGAACAGGAUUAGAUACCCUGGUAGUCCACGCCGUAAACGAUGAGUGCUAAGUGUUAGGGGGUUUCCGCCCCUUAGUGCUGCAGCUAACGCAUAAGCACUCCGCCUGGGGAGUACCGCCACGGGG
rnacentral:rRNA from 1 species